CAGCAGCCGCGGGAAUACGUAGGUGGCAAGCGUUGUCCGGAAUUAUUGGGCGUAAAGGGCUCGCAGGCGGUUUCUUAAGUCUGAUGUGAAAGCCCCCGGCUCAACCGGGGAGGGUCAUUGGAGACUGGGAAACUUGAGUGCAGAAGAGGAGAGUGGAAUUCCACGUGUAGCGGUGAAAUGCGUAGAGAUGUGGAGGAACACCAGUGGCGAAAGCGGCUCUCUGGCUUGUAACUGACGCUGAGGCUCGAAAGCGUGGGGAGCAAACAGGAUUAGAUACCCCGGUAGUCCCUGUCUCUUAUAC
rnacentral:rRNA from 1 species